AUUUAUAUAGUUUAUUUAAAACAUUACAUUUUCAUUGUAAAAAUAAAAUCUUUUUUUUAUAAAUA
rnacentral:tRNA from 1 species